AGCUCCAAUAGCGUAUAUUAAAGUUGCUGCAGUUAAAAAGCUCGUAGUUGGAUUUCUGAUGUGACCUGCCUGGCCCGCCGUGGUUACACGUGUGAGUGCCGGGUGUUGUCCGUCUGUCUUCCUAUUCGUCGCUGCCCUCUUCACUGAGUGGUGGUCUGACCGAGUAGGAUCUUUUACUUUGAACAAAUUAGAGUGUUUCAAGCAGGCUUCUGCCAUGAAUACAUUAGCAUGGAAUAAUCAUUUAGGACUUCGGUUCUAUUUUGUUGGUUUCGAGAGCUGAAGUAAUGAUUGAUAGGGAUAGUUGGGGGUGCUAGUAUUCAGAGGCCAGAGGUGAAAUUCUUGGAUUCUCUGAAGACUAACUUAUGCGAAAGCAUUCACCAAGGAUGUCUUCU
rnacentral:rRNA from 1 species